GAAUGGGGAAACCCAGUGUGACUCGUCACACUAUCAUUAACUGAAUCCAUAGGUUAAUGAGGCGAACCGGGGGAACUGAAACAUCUAAGUACCCCGAGGAAAAGAAAUCAACCGAGAUUCCCCCAGUAGCGGCGAGCGAACGGGGAGGAGCCCAGAGCCUGAAUCAGCAUGUGUGUUAGUGGAAGCGUCUGGAAAGGCGCGCGAUACAGGGUGACAGCCCCGUACACAAAAGCGCAUGUGCUGUGAGCUCGAUGAGUAGGGCGGGACACGUGGUAUCCUGUCUGAAUAUGGGGGGACCAUCCUCCAAGGCUAAAUACUCCUGACUGACCGAUAGUGAACCAGUACCGUGAGGGAAAGGCGAAAAGAACCCCGGCGAGGGGAGUGAAAAAGAACCUGAAACCGUGUACGUACAAGCAGUGGGAGCACCCUUUUGGGUGUGACUGCGUACCUUUUGUAUAAUGGGUCAGCGACUUAUAUUCUGUAGCAAGGUUAACCGAAUAGGGGAGCCGGAGGGAAACCGAGUCUUAAUUGGGCGUUAAGUUGCAGGGUAUAGACCCGAAACCCGGUGAUCUAGCCAUGGGCAGGUUGAAGGUUGGGUAACACUAACUGGAGGACCGAACCGACUAAUGUUGAAAAAUUAGCGGAUGACCUGUGGCUGGGGGUGAAAGGCCAAUCAAACCGGGAGAUAGCUGGUUCUCCCCGAAAGCUAUUUAGGUAGCGCCUCGUGAAUUCAUCUCCGGGGGUAGAGCACUGUUUCGGCUAGGGGGCCAUCCCGGCUUACCAACCCGAUGCAAACUGCGAAUACCGGAGAAUGUUAUCACGGGAGACACACGGCGGGUGCUAACGUCCGUCGUGAAGAGGGAAACAACCCAGACCGCCAGCUAAGGUCCCAAAGUCAUGGUUAAGUGGGAAACGAUGUGGGAAGGCCCAGACAGCCAGGAUGUUGGCUUAGAAGCAGCCAUCAUUUAAAGAAAGCGUAAUAGCUCACUGGUCGAGUCGGCCUGCGCGGAAGAUGUAACGGGGCUAAACCAUGCACCGAAGCUGCGGCAGCGACACUAUGUGUUGUUGGGUAGGGGAGCGUUCUGUAAGCCUGUGAAGGUGUGCUGUGAGGCAUGCUGGAGGUAUCAGAAGUGCGAAUGCUGACAUAAGUAACGAUAAAGCGGGUGAAAAGCCCGCUCGCCGGAAGACCAAGGGUUCCUGUCCAACGUUAAUCGGGGCAGGGUGAGUCGACCCCUAAGGCGAGGCCGAAAGGCGUAGUCGAUGGGAAACGGGUUAAUAUUCCCGUACUUGGUGUUACUGCGAAGGGGGGACGGAGAAGGCUAUGUUGGCCGGGCGACGGUUGUCCCGGUUUAAGCGUGUAGG
rnacentral:rRNA from 1 species